AUUGAACGCUGGCGGCAGGCCUAACACAUGCAAGUCGAGCGCGAAAGUUCUUCGGAAUGAGUAAAGCGGCGGACGGGUGAGAAAUACAUGGGAAUCUGCCUGGUAGUGGGGGACAACGUUUCGAAAGGAACGCUAAUACCGCAUACGCCCUACGGGGGAAAGGGGGGGAUCUUCGGACCUCUCGCUAUCAGAUGAGCCCA
rnacentral:rRNA from 1 species